rnacentral:rRNA from 1 species
CAAACAGGAUUAGAUACCCUGGUAGUCCACGCCCUAAACGAUGAUCACUAGAUAUUGGCGACAGACAGUCAGUGUCCAAGCGAAAGUGAUAAGUGAUCCACCUGGGGAAUACGGCCGCAAGGUUAAAACUCAAAGGAAUUGACGGGGGCCCGCACAAGCGGAGGAGCAUGUGGUUUAAUUCGAUGGUACGCGAGGAACCUUACCUGGGUUAGAACGUAUGAUAGAUGUAGCUGAAAGGUUACAGGCCUGCAAGGGAUAUCAUACGAGGUGCUGCAUGGUUGUCGUCAGCUCGUGCCGUGAGGUGUUUGGUUAAGUCCAGCAACGAGCGCAACCCCUACCUUUAGUUGCCAGCAGGUAAAGCUGGGGACACUAGAGGGACUGCCUGCGCAAGCAGAGAGGAAGGUGGGGAUGACGUCAAAUCAGCACGGCCCUUAUGUCCAGGGCUACACACGUGCUACAAUGGUAACUACAGAGGGCAGCGACUAGGCGACUAGGAGCGAAUCUCGAAAAGUUAUCUCAGUUCGGAUUGGAGUCUGCAACUCGACUCCAUGAAGGUGGAUUCGCUAGUAAUCGCGCAUCAGCAAUGGCGCGGUGAAUACGUUCCCGGGCCUUGUACACACCGCCCGUCAAGCCAUGGAAGCCGGGGGUACCUGAAGUGCGUAACCGCGAGGAGCGCCCUAGGGUAAGACCGGUGACUGGGGCUAAGUCGUAACAAGGUAGCCGUACCGGAAGGUGCGGCUG